rnacentral:lncRNA from 1 species
CACACAGCCAGAUGCCCACCCAGGGCUGUGUGGAAAGUGUCCGGCAGUCCUCCCACAUCCGCCUGCCCAGAGCACAGGAACUCUGGCUGGACGCGGGCUCUCUCCCUCUCCCCUCUUCCCCUACACCCACAACCCUGCAAGGUCACAUCAGAACAUCACCUACCCAAGUGGCCUUGAAGGACAGGGAACCACCUCCAUGUGAAGGUAGGUAGGAUUUCCUGAGCUGGAAGGAAGAUUGUGAGCAAAGGCAAGGAAAGGAAAAUGUGCGAAGUGAAGAGGGAGCCAAUGAAUAUCAGAAUAGGACCUAGACAUAGGACCACCAUCUCUGAGAGAGCUCUACAGGGGAGAAGUCUUAAUGGAUGUAAACUGAGACCCACAAAUGAGGUGGGAAUGAGAUCUCUGCCAACACUCUAAAUGAACACGUGCUUUCGAAAAAUGGUGCCAUCCAAUGAGAACAGACUGUACCCUGCCCUCCAAUUUAUCCCUACCACUUUAAUACUUAUGGGUCUUUAGACAUUCAUACACUCAGCCUGUGAGAAGAGUAAUCACUGUAUUUCAUAUUUACAUUAUAGGGUUUAUGUGAACAAUAUUUGUGUACAGUGAGCAGAAAAAUAGCAUGGUCUACUUCCAGACAGUCAUGCGAAUAUUGUGAAGCCCCCAUACCAAAUGUGAUUUUCAUUCUGUUAUUGCUACCAUGUAAGAGUCGUGGAGACCAGGGAGUGCCUUUUUUUCUGGACUAGGAACACAAAUUAUUUUUUAUAAAGUCGUUUAAUGAACAAGUGAGUACACGUGUGGAUAAUACUCAGGACUCUCAAACUAAGCAAUAAAAUCAAUCUCUCAAACUAAGCUGAAAGUGUGUCGACUGUUCCAUGAUUCUCCUGGUGUAUGGGCUAUGGGUAGUUGCAGUCAGUUGGUAUCAUGGUAGAGAAGAAAGCCAGUAAAUGUAGAGUCGUUGACGUUAUCUGCAUAGAGUCCAUUGUGGUCCCCAUCCCCAUACACCUGGAGCCAGACUUGGUCUCCCACCUCCAGAUGGAGGAGCACAGAGCCAGAGGCCUGGUCCACAUUCUUUUCCUGAUACUGGUCGUAGGUGAAGAGAACGGCCUUGUCCUUCUUGAAGAGGCUCACCUUCACAUCUUUCAUGUACACCGUGAUGUGGUAAGAGAAGUAGUAGAGUCCCGGAAUGUUGCAGUAGAACUUGCCAGUGCUGCCGUCAUAAUGAUUCUGUUGGUUGUAGAAGAUCUUAGUAAAGCGAAUGGGACCAAGAAGACCUAGAAGGACAAGGAAAGACAUCAUCUCCGUCAUCUCUGCUUCCUCACUCUCCACGGCCUGGCAGGCUCCUAUAAGUUCAUCUCCAGCCUUAGUUUUCAAAGCCUUUAUGGGUGAAUUAAAAGAUGAAUGAGCAGACUGAUGAUGGAUAUUUAGAACUCUCGAGCUAGAUACUACAUCCUUGUUCGUUGUUCUCUGGUUGACAUGUGAACGAUUUGCUCUGGUAGAAGCUCAGAUUUGUUAGAGGUCAGUUGGGUCAGUAGAUGUUCUGAAUAUGAUUUAUCCACUUAUUCAUUCAUCUAUUCAUUCCUUCAUCCCAUGCCUUUCCAUAUGCCCCAAAGCACAGCAGAUUUCCAGAAAGUAAUCUCCUGUAAGUAGCCAUAUAGUCACCCUACCCUGCCAGCUGUUUGUGCACUGACCAACCACUGUGUUGCCUUCUAUCCCCUGUGUCCAGAUGUCCUCCCCCCUCUACCCUCUGGAAACCAUCCUUUUGAGGCGUGGCUCAAGCCCUACCUCCUCAGAUUAGCCUAUUUGUU